rnacentral:lncRNA from 1 species
UGCUUGCUAUCCUAAUUUCCACCUUGAGGACAAGGUGAUUUUGGAAGGUGAGGGGAGUGAUACACCCCCAAUAAGUGAAGAAGCAACACCAGGGCCCAAUCAUGAGAAUGAGGCUGCUCAUGAAGACCCAACAGAAAAGAAGCGUAAAAUAAGGAAACCAGCUUGGACGCAAGACUAUUAUUGUUACAGAUAAGCACAUGAUAGUGGUUGAUCAUGAUAAUCCUUUGAUUGUUACUUUCCUUUAUUUAUGCAAGUAGUUAUGCAUUUCCCUUCUUGAUUCCUUCAUUUAAGCAAAUAAUUAUGCAGAGUCUCAUUUAGUCCUAUAUAACUCUGUACUGAUGACAGAUAUGUCAUGUUGAAUGAUAAUAAGAAAUUUCUAUUCUUCCUUAAAAUUCUCUUUUCUCUCUUAAUUUUCUUAGGAGUUUACACUCACUCGAAGAGUGCCACCAUUGUUGUACAAUCUGAACAUUGCAGGUUGUAUCAUUGGUGCUUUCAU